CGAAACUAACAGAUUUACUUCGGUAAUGACGUUAGGAAAGCGAGCGGCGGAUGGGUGAGUAACACGUGGGGAACCUGCCCCAUAGUCUGGGAUACCACUUGGAAACAGGUGCUAAUACCGGAUAGAAAGCAGAUCGCAUGAUCAGCUUUUAAAAGGCGGCGUAAGCUGUCGCUAUGGGAUGGCCCCGCGGUGCAUUAGCUAGUUGGUAAGGUAAAGGCUUACCAAGGCGAUGAUGCAUAGCCGAGUUGAGAGACUGAUCGGCCACAUUGGGACUGAGACACGGCCCAAACUCCUACGGGAGGCAGCAGUAGGGAAUCUUCCACAAUGGACGCAAGUCUGAUGGAGCAACGCCGCGUGAGUGAAGAAGGUUUUCGGAUCGUAAAGCUCUGUUGUUGGUGAA
rnacentral:rRNA from 1 species